UACAGAGGUCUCAAGCGUUGUUCGGAUUCAUUGGGCGUAAAGGGUGCGUAGGCGGCGCGGUAAGUCGGGUGUGAAAUUUCGAGGCUUAACUUCGAAACUGCAUUCGAUACUGCCGUGCUUGAGGACUGGAGAGGAGACUGGAAUUUACGGUGUAGCGGUGAAAUGCGUAGAUAUCGUAAGGAAGACCAGUGGCGAAGGCGGGUCUCUGGACAGCUCCUGACGCUGAGGCACGAAGGCCAGGGGAGCAAACGGG
rnacentral:rRNA from 1 species